rnacentral:rRNA from 1 species
CCUACGGGAGGCAGCAGUGAGGAAUAUUGGUCAAUGGACGAGAGUCUGAACCAGCCAAGUAGCGUGAAGGAUGACUGCCCUAUGGGUUGUAAACUUCUUUUAUAUGGGAAUAAAACGUUCCACGUGUGGGAUUUUGUAUGUACCAUAUGAAUAAGGAUCGGCUAACUCCGUGCCAGCAGCCGCGGUAAUACGGAGGAUCCGAGCGUUAUCCGGAUUUAUUGGGUUUAAAGGGAGCGUAGGUGGAUUGUUAAGUCAGUUGUGAAAGUUUGCGGCUAAACCGUAAAAUUGCAGUUGAAACUGGCAGUCUUGAGUACAGUAGAGGUGGGCGGAAUUCGUGGUGUAGCGGUGAAAUGCUUAGAUAUCACGAAGAAAUCCGAUUGCGAAGGCAGUUCACUGGACUGCAACUGACACUGAGGCUCGAAAGUGUGGGUAUCAAACAGGAUUAGAUACCCGAGUAGUC